AGCAGCCGCGGUAAUUCCAGCUCCAAUAGCGUAUAUUAAAGUUGUUGCAGUUAAAAAGCUCGUAGUUGGAUUUCUGGUAUGGUGCGCCUGGCCCACGGUUGCAAAACCGCGAGUGUCGGUGUGCGCCUGCCAUCUUUCUAGUUAACUGGACGCACUUAACUGGGCGGUCAGCGAUCUAGAUCUUUUACUUUGAAAAAAU
rnacentral:rRNA from 1 species